UCAGAUUGAACSUUGGCGGCAGCCUAACACAUGCAAGUCGAGCGGAAACAGAGAGGUGCUUGCACCUUUGCUGUCGAGCGGCGGACGGGUGAGUAAUGCCUAGAUAUCUGCCUAGUCGUGGGGGAUAACAGUUGGAAACGACUGCUAAUACCGCAUACGCCCUACGGGGGAAAGGAGGGGACCUUCGGGCCUUUCGCGAUUAGAUGAGUCUAGGUGGGAUUAGCUAGUAGGUAAGGUAAUGGCUUACCUAGGCGACGAUCCCUAGCUGUUCUGAGAGGAUGAUCAGCCACACUGGGACUGAGACACGGCCCAGACUCCUACGGGAGGCAGCAGUGGGGAAUAUUGCACAAUGGGGGAAACCCUGAUGCAGCCAUGCCGCGUGUGUGAAGAAGGCCUUCGGGUUGUAAAGCACUUUCAGCGAGGAGGAAAGGGUAGUAGUUAAUAACUGCUAUCUGUGACGUUACUCGCAGAAGAAGCACCCG
rnacentral:rRNA from 1 species